rnacentral:lncRNA from 1 species
CAGGCGGUUAUUGUCUAUGCUGACUGGUACAGUAGCCAGGGGCCACAUGUGGCCAUCGGGGACUUUUUGAAGUCUUUUUUUUUUUUUUUUUUGAGACAGAGUCUUGCUCUGUCACCAGGCUGGAGUGCAGUGGUGCGAUCUUGGCUCACUGCAACCUGUCCCUUCCAGGUUCAAAUGAUUCUCUUGCCUCAGCUUCUCGAGUAGCUGGGAUUACAGGCGCACACUACCACACCCGGCUAAUUUUUUGUUUUUGUUUUUUUUGAGACGAAGUUUCCCUCCUGUUGCCCAGGCUGGAGUGUAGUGGUGCGAUCUUGGCUCACUGCAACCUCCGUCUGCCGAGUUCAAGCGAUUCUCCUGCCUCAGCCUCCUGAGUAGCAAGCUCGCACCACCAUGCCCGGCUAAUUUUUUGUAUUUUUGGUAGAGACGGGGUUUCACCAUGUUGGCUAGGCUGGUCUUGAACUCCUGACCUCAGGUGAUCUGCCCUCCUUGGCCUCCCAAAGUGCUGGAAUUACAGGCAUGAGCCACCGUAACUGGCCGUAAAGUCUUAGUUUUUUUUGUUUGUUUUGUUUUGUUGUUUGUAUUUUUUUUUUUGAGACAGAGUCUUGCUCUGUCGCCCAGGCUGGAGUGCAGUGGCCGCAAUCUCGGCUCACUGCAAGCUCUGCCUCCAGGGUUCAUGCCAUUCUCCUGCCUCAGCUUCCCAAGUAGCUGGGACUACAGGCGCCCGCCACCACACCCGGCUAAUUUUUUUAGAUUUUUAGUAGAGACGGGGUUUCCCCAUGUUAGCCAGGAUGGUCUCGAUCUGACCUCGUGAUCCGCCCGCCUCAGCCUCCCAAAGUGCUGGGAUUACAGGUGUGAGCCACCGUGCCCGGCCAAAGUCUUAGUUUUUAACUUGAACUUCCAAGGCCACGUGCGUCUCCUGGCUCCUGCACGGACUGUGUGACUGUCCCCGACAGCUUUCCUGUCUCGUCUCAUGAGGGGUCCAGCACAUGGCAUUCUGGGUCGGCACCUGAAGUCCACCUCUAUGAGACCCUCUGGGAGCGUGACGGGGCCUUGGCAUGGGUCGGCCGAGGCCCUUCUGUCCCAGGUCACUGGUGUGGUCGGCCCAGGCCCUCCUGUCCCACAUCACCUGUGUGGUCGGCCCAGGCCCUCCUGUCCCAGGUCACCGGUGUGGUCGGCCCAGGCCCUCCUGUCCAGGUCCUCCUGUCCAGGUCACUGGUGUGGUCGGCCCAGGCCCUUCUGUCCCAGGUCACCUGUGUGGUCGGCCCAGGGCCCUCCUGUACCAUGUCACUGUUGAGGGGCUGGCUCUGGAAGAGGGCAGGGACUUGGCAUUGGUGGGGGCAGGGUUCCAAGGUGUGGCCUGUCAGCAGGAAGGGGCAGGUGGCAUGGGUCCAGGCGGGACUCAGGGCUGGGGUGCCACUGCUGGAGACUGUCCGGAG